rnacentral:rRNA from 1 species
GAUCAUGGCUCAGAUUGAACGGCUGGCGGCAGGCCUAACACAUGCAAGUCGAACGGUAACAGGAAGAAGCUUGCUUCUUUGCUGACGAGUGGCGGACGGGUGAGUAAUGUCUGGGAAACUGCCUGAUGAGGGGGAUAACUACUGGAAACGGUAGCUAAUACCGCAUAACGUCGCAAGACCAAAGAGGGGGACCUUCGGGCCUCUUGCCAUCGGAUGUGCCCAGAUGGGAUUAGCUAGUAGGUGGGGUAACGGCUCACCUAGGCGACGAUCCCUAGCUGGUCUGAGAGGAUGACCAGCCACACUGGAACUGAGACACGGUCCAGACUCCUACGGGAGGCAGCAGUGGGGAAUAUUGCACAAUGGGCGCAAGCCUGAUGCAGCCAUGCCCGCGUGUAUGAAGAAGGCCUUCGGGUUGUAAAGUACUUUCAGCGGGGAGGAAGGGAGUAAAGUUAAUACCUUUGCUCAUUGACGUUACCCGCAGAAGAAGCACCGGCUAACUCCGUG